CCAGACAGCCAGGAUGUUGGCUUAGAAGCAGCCAUCAUUUAAAGAAAGCGUAAUAGCUCACUGGUCGAGUCGGCCUGCGCGGAAGAUGUAACGGGGCUAAACCAUGCACCGAAGCUGCGGCAGCGACACUAUGUGUUGUUGGGUAGGGGAGCGUUCUGUAAGCCUGUGAAGGUGUACUGUGAGGUAUGCUGGAGGUAUCAGAAGUGCGAAUGCUGACAUAAGUAACGAUAAAGCGGGUGAAAAGCCCGCUCGCCGGAAGACCAAGGGUUCCUGUCCAACGUUAAUCGGGGCAGGGUGAGUCGACCCCUAAGGCGAGGCCGAAAGGCGUAGUCGAUGGGAAACAGGUUAAUAUUCCUGUACUUGGUGUUACUGCGAAGGGGGGACGGAGAAGGCUAUGUUGGCCGGGCGACGGUUGUCCCGGUUUAAGCGUGUAGGCUGAUUUUCCAGGUAAAUCCGGAAAAUCAAGGCUGAGGCGUGAUGACGAGGCACUACGGUGCUGAAGCAACAAAUGCCCUGCUUCCAGGAAAAGCCUCUAAGCAUCAGGUAACAUCAAAUCGUACCCCAAACCGACACAGGUGGUCAGGUAGAGAAUACCAAGGCGCUUGAGAGAACUCGGGUGAAGGAACUAGGCAAAAUGGUGCCGUAACUUCGGGAGAAGGCACGCUGAUACGUAGGUGAAGUCCCUUGCGGAUGGAGCUGAAAUCAGUCGAAGAUACCAGCUGGCUGCAACUGUUUAUUAAAAACACAGCACUGUGCAAACACGAAAGUGGACGUAUACGGUGUGACGCCUGCCCGGUGCCGGAAGGUUAAUUGAUGGGGUUAGCGGUAACGCGAAGCUCUUGAUCGAAGCCCCGGUAAACGGCGGCCGUAACUAUAACGGUCCUAAGGUAGCGAAAUUCCUUGUCGGGUAAGUUCCGACCUGCACGAAUGGCGUAAUGAUGGCCAGGCUGUCUCCACCCGAGACUCAGUGAAAUUGAACUCGCUGUGAAGAUGCAGUGUACCCGCGGCAAGACGGAAAGACCCCGUGAACCUUUACUAUAGCUUGACACUGAACAUUGAGCCUUGAUGUGUAGGAUAGGUGGGAGGCUUUGAAGUGUGGACGCCAGUCUGCAUGGAGCCGACCUUGAAAUACCACCCUUUAAUGUUUGAUGUUCUAACGUUGGCCCCUAAUCGGGGUUGCGGACAGUGUCUGGUGGGUAGUUUGACUGGGGCGGUCUCCUCCUAAAGAGUAACGGAGGAGCACGAAGGUUGGCUAAUCCUGGUCGGACAUCAGGAGGUUAGUGCAAUGGCAUAAGCCAGCUUGACUGCGAGCGUGACGGCGCGAGCAGGUGCGAAAGCAGGUCAUAGUGAUCCGGUGGUUCUGAAUGGAAGGGCCAUCGCUCAACGGAUAAAAGGUACUCCGGGGAUAACAGGCUGAUACCGCCCAAGAGUUCAUAUCGACGGCGGUGUUUGGCACCUCGAUGUCGGCUCAUCACAUCCUGGGGCUGAAGUAGGUCCCAAGGGUAUGGCUGUUCGCCAUUUAAAGUGGUACGCGAGCUGGGUUUAGAACGUCGUGAGACAGUUCGGUCCCUAUCUGCCGUGGGCGCUGGAGAACUGAGGGGGGCUGCUCCUAGUACGAGAGGACCGGAGUGGACGCAUCACUGGUGUUCGGGUUGUCAUGCCAAUGGCACUGCCCGGUAGCUAAAUGCGGAAGAGAUAAGUGCUGAAAGCAUCUAAGCACGAAACUUGCCCCGAGAUGAGUUCUCCCUGACUCCCUGAGAGUCCUGAAGGAACGUUGAAGACGACGACGUUGAUAGGCCGGGUGUGUAAGCGCAGCGAUGCGUUGAGCUAACCGGUACUAAUGAACCGUGAGGCUUAACCUU
rnacentral:rRNA from 1 species